AACGAACGCUGGCGGCAGGCCUAACACAUGCAAGUCGAGCGAGGACUUCGGUCCUAGCGGCGGACGGGUGAGUAACGCGUGGGAACGUGCCCUUUGCUUCGGAAUAGCCCUGGGAAACUGGGAGUAAUACCGGAUGAGCCCUUUGGGGGAAAGAUUUAUCGGCGAAGGAUCGGCCCGCGUUGGAUUAGGUAGUUGGUUGGGUAAUGGCCUACCAAGCCGACGAUCCAUAGCUGGUUUGAGAGGAUGAUCAGCCACACUGGGACUGAGACACGGCCCAGACUCCUACCGGGAGCAACAAUUGGGGAUCUUAGACCAUUGGGGGAACCCUUAUCUUGCCCUGCCGCGUUAACCAUUAAGGCCUUAGGGUUUUUAAGCUCUUUCAGCUUGGGAGAUUAUGACGGUACCAGCAGAAGAAGCCCCGGCUAACUCCGUG
rnacentral:rRNA from 1 species